CGGACGGGUGAGUAAUGCCUGGGAAAUUGCCCAGUCGAGGGGGAUAACAGUUGGAAACGACUGCUAAUACCGCAUACGCCCUACGGGGGAAAGCAGGGGACCUUCGGGCCUUGCGCGAUUGGAUAUGCCCAGGUGGGAUUAGCUAGUUGGUGAGGUAAUGGCUCACCGAGGCGACGAUCCCUAGCUGGUCUGAGAGGAUGAUCAGCCACACUGGAACUGAGACACGGUCCAG
rnacentral:rRNA from 1 species